rnacentral:rRNA from 1 species
UACGUAGGGUGCAAGCGUUAAUCGGAAUUACUGGGCGUAAAGCGUGCGCAGGCGGUUUUGUAAGUCUGACGUGAAAUCCCCCGGGCUCAACCUGGGAAUUGCGUUGGAGACUGCAAGGCUAGAAUCUGGCAGAGGGGGGUAGAAUUCCACGUGUAGCAGUGAAAUGCGUAGAGAUGUGGAGGAACACCGAUGGCGAAGGCAGCCCCCUGGGUCAAGAUUGACGCUCAUGCA